GGUCCCAUAGCUCAGUGGGAGAGCGCUCGCCUCACACGCGAGAGGUCGCUGGUUCGAACCCAGCUGGGACCA
rnacentral:tRNA from 1 species